rnacentral:rRNA from 1 species
UACGAGGGGGGCAAAUGUUGUUCGGAAUCACUGGGCGUAAAGGGAGCGUAGGCGGGUUCUUAAGUAAGGUGUUUAAUCCCGGGGCCCAACCCCGGACCGGCACUUUAAACUGGGAAUCUUGAAUAGUGGAGAGGUCGGUGGAAUUGGGGGUGUAGCGGUGGAAUGCGUAGAGAUCCCCAAGAACACCAGUUGCGAAGGCGGCUGACUGGACACAUAUUGACGCUGAGGCUCGAAAGCAUGGGGAGCAAACAGG